rnacentral:rRNA from 1 species
GGUUUGAUUAUGGCUCAGAUUGAACGCUGGCGGGAUGCUUUACAUGCAAGUCGAACGGCAGCACGGACUUCGGUCUGGUGGCGAGUGGCGAACGGGUGAGUAAUGUAUCGGAACGUGCCUAGUAGCGGGGGAUAACUACGCGAAAGCGUAGCUAAUACCGCAUACGCCCUUCGGGGAAAGCGGGGGGACCUUCCGGGCCUCGCACUAUUAAACGGCCGAUAUCGGAUUAGCUAGUUGGUGGGGUAACGGCUCGCAAGGCGACGAUCCGUAGCUGGUUUGAGAGGACGACCAGCCACACUGGGACUGAGACACGGCCCAGACUCCUACGGGAAGGCAGUGGGGGUACGGACAAUGGGGGAAACCCUGAUCCAGCCAUCCCGCGUGUGCGAUGAAGGCCUUCGGGUUGUAAAGCACUUUUGGCAGGAAAGAAACGGCACGGGAUAAUACCCCGUGCAACUGACGGUACCUGCAGAAUAAGCACCGGCUAACUACGUGCCAGCAGCCGCGGUAAUACGUAAGUGCAAGCGUUAAUCGGAAUUACUGGGCGUAAAGCGUGCGCAGGCGGUUCGGAAAGAAGAUGUGAAAUCCCAGAGCUUAACUUUGGAACUGCAUUUUUAACUACCGAGCUAGAGUGUGUCAGAGGGAGGUGGAAUUCCGCGUGUAGCAGUGAAAUGCGUAGAUAUGCGGAGGAACACCGAUGGCGAAGGCAGCCUCCUGGGAUAACACUGACGCUCAUGCACGCAGCGUGGGAGCAAACGGGUUAGAUACCUGGUAGUCCACGCCUAAACGAUGUCAACUAGCUGUUGGGGCCUUCGGGCCUUGGUAGCGCAGCUAACGCGUGAAGUUGACCGCCUGGGGAGUACGGUCGCAAGAUUAAAACUCAAAGGAAUUGACGGGGACCCGCACAAGCGGUGGAUGAUGUGGAUUAAUUCGAUGCAACGCGAAAAGCCUUACCUACCCUUGACAUGUCUGGAAUCCCGAAGAGAUUUGGGAGUGCUCGCAAAGGAGCCGGAACACAGGUGCUGCAUGGCUGUCGUCGAACUGGUGUCGUGAGAUGUUGGGUUAAGUCCCGCAACGAGCGCAACCCUUGUCAUUAGUUGCUACGAAGGGCACUCUAAUGAGACUGCCGGUGACAAACCGGAGGAAGGUGGGGAUGACGUCAAGUCCUCAUGGCCCUUAUGGGUAGGGCUUCACACGUCAUACAAUGGUCGGGACGAGGUCGCCAACCCGCGAGGGGGAGCCAAUCCCAGAAACCCGAUCGUAGUCCGGAUCGCAGUCUGCAACUCGACUGCGUGAAGUCAGAAUCGCUAGUAAUCGCGGAUCAGCAUGUCGCGGUGAAUACGUUCCCGGGUCUUGUACACACCGCCCGUCACACCAUGGGAGUGGGUUUUACCAGAAGUAGUUAGCCUAACCGUAAGGAGGGCGAUUACCACGGUAGGAUUCAUGACUGGGGUGAAGUCGUAACAAGGUAG